CCAGUUCAACGUAUUAAUUUUAUUAAGCAAUAACUAACUUAGUUCCAUUUUUAAAUAUAAAAUGUGGAACGUUUGUAUUUUGUUUAUGCUCCCAGCGAUAUCGAAUGCUUCGAAUAUAUCAUUUGGAAACAGGAAUAAACGGCAAGAUUACUGGAGUUGGGAACUAGUCGAGGAUAAUGAGCCAAGAAAUGCAAGUCUUUUUAGUUUUA